UGCUGCUGCACAAGUGGCUGUAGGACUUUCUUCAGCAAAGAUGGCGGACAGAAAUACUCAGAGGGGUACCCCUACACAGACCUGAAAUGGAUCAAAGAUGGCGGACAGAAAUACUAGGAUGGAAGCAAAUAGCAGCAGACUCCUCCUCUGGGACACGGCGGCGAGCUGCAGAUCCCCUCCUGGUCCUCGUGUCCAUCCUCAUGACGUUACGCAGGACACAGGUAGCCUUCACACACCUGAAUUCCUCCAGGAAGCAGUACCAGAUGACCCUGGUCACCCAACCUUGCAGUGCCCUACACGAGCCUGGAUUUUCCCCUGAGGCUAAUAUCCAUAUCAUGCUGCAAUCAAUUGAACAAGGCAAACGAUAAGUUCUGAUGAAGAUGAUCAACCUCCUCCUUCACAUCUGACUCCUGAUGAUCAACCUCCUCCUUCACAUCUGACUCCAGUGAUCAAUCCAGAGAGUCUUCUUUCUUGGGGUUAAAAUGAGUGGAAGGAGAUAAAUAAAAUGGUGCUGAUGCGGGAGAUGGGGGUAUGUUCUAGUGGGUCUGGGCAGGUGUGAUGGAGUUAAUGGAGAUGGGGGUGUGGUCUAGUGGGUCUGGGCAGGUGUGAUGUAGAUAAUGGAGAUGGGGGUGUGUUCUAGUGGGUCUGGGUAGGUUUGAUGUAGUUAAUGGAGAUGGGGGUGUGGUCUAGUGGGUCUGGGCAGGUGUGAUGUAGUUAAUGGAGAUGGGGGUGUGUUCUAGUGGGACUGGGCAGGUGUGAUGUAGUUAAUGGAGAUGGAGGUGUGUUCUAGUGGGUCUGGGCAAGUGUGAUGUAGUUCAUGGGGAUGGAGGUGUGUUCUAGUGGGUCUGAGCAGGUGUGGUGUAGUUAAUGGAGAUGGGGCUGUGUUUGAGUGGAUCUGGGCAGGUGUGAUGUAGUUAAUGGAGAUGGGGGUGUGGUCUAGUGGGUCUGAGCAGGUGUGAUGUAGUUAAUGGGGAUGGAGGUGUGUUCUAGUGGGUCUGAGCAGGUGUGGUGUAGUUAAUGGAGAUGGGGCUGUGUUUGAGUGGGUCUGGGCAGGUGUGAUGUAGUUAAUGGAGAUGGGGGUGUGUUCUCGUGGGUCUGGGCAGGUGUGAUGUAGUUAAUGGAGAUGGAGGUGUGUUCUCGUGGUUCUGUGCAGGUGUGAUGUAGUUAAUGGAGAUGGGGGUGUGUUCUCGUGGGUCUGGGCAAGUGUGAUGUAGUUCAUGUAGAUGGAUUUGAGUUAUUGUGAGUCUGGGCAGGUGUGAUGUAUUUCAUGUUUGUAUGUGUAUGUUUUGUAUUGUUUAUAAAAUCUCAAAUAAAAGAUUAAAA
rnacentral:lncRNA from 1 species